UCUCGGGCCCUGCAGAGAAGCCGCCGCCCGGUGUGAGGUCAGGUGUUAUUUAUCACAGCCGUCUGCGCGGGGAGUUGACAUUUGUACAGGCAUUCUGCUCUGCCAUUGUAAUUGACUCUCCUUGUCUUUUUGAGGACACCAGCAGAUAUAACUAUGUCAGGACACCUCUCAGCUAUAUAUUACCCGUCUCAGUGAGGACGACAACCGGAUUUGCAGCCACCUAGACUGAUCUCAUUGGGUAAACGCUUGGCACAGUGACAGAAGAACAGGAUGAACAUCCAAGUUCUAUUCCUCCUCAUCUCAUCUUCCAGGACUGUGGGAAAGCAAGGUCACGUUCAUGAGCAAUACCUCCUUAAACCGGCCUUAAGAUGAAUAUCUUUCUUGGCAGUCCUUAGACGGGCUGAGCUAUUAUGUUGAUCUUUCCCCAGAGCUUCUUUUGAAUUCAUGACUCCCAUAAUGCCCAUUUGCCAUAUUUGUUAACAUGCUGGGUCACCUGUCUCGCAGCUGUCCAUGUUGACUAGAUCUGCCUUUUCAUCGUCGAGAGCUACCUGCCAUAAUGACCCCGUAAUAAAGUGUCAUUAUCUUUCCACCCAGUCUAGUGUACUGUACACAAAGCCACCGGAGGAAUCCAGGUCCUGUCCAAUUCAUUUCUGCCAGGUAUGAAUGUCAGCGUCCUUUUGUGAGGAUUACAGACAUUCCCACAUUAGGGCUGGACUGAUUGUUCUUUGUGGAACGGUGGGAGUGGAAUAGCGCGUUUGAUUUCAGAUAAUGCAGAAGGAGACAAAUGCCACCGGACGGAGUGGGGCUUUUUGUGUCAACCUGGCUGCAGACUUGAAUCCGAGACUAUGACUGUGUCAAGCUGAGGUUGAAGAGAUGAGAAGGACUGUGGUGUGGAUUACACAGUCUGUAAUACAAUUUGUCAGGUUUUAUG